rnacentral:miRNA from 1 species
UCACAGCCAAAACUGAUGAUCU